rnacentral:rRNA from 1 species
GACGAACGCUGGCGGCGUGCUUAACACAUGCAAGUCGAACGGAAAGGCCCUGCUUUUGUGGGGUGCUCGAGUGGCGAACGGGUGAGUAACACGUGAGUAACCUGCCCUUGACUUUGGGAUAACUUCAGGAAACUGGGGCUAAUACCGGAUAGGAGCUCCUGCUGCAUGGUGGGGGUUGGAAAGUUUCGGCGGUUGGGGCUGGACUCGCGGCUUAUCAGCUUGUUGGUGGGGUAGUGGCUUACCAAGGCUUUGACGGGUAGCCGGCCUGGGAGGGUUACCGGGGACAAUGGGACUGAGGUAGGGACCAGUAGGCUACGGGAGGCAGCAGUGGGGAAUAUUGCACAAUGGGCGGGAGCGUGAUGCAGCAACGCCGCGUGCGGGAUGACGGCCUUCGGGUUGUAAACCGCUUUGGCCGGUGACGAGGCGUGAGUGACGGUAAUGGGUAAAGAAGCACCGGCUAACUACGUG